GAUGAACGCUGGCGGCGUGCCUAAUACAUGCAAGUCGAGCGAACAGACGAGGAUCUUACUCCUCUGACGUUAGCGGCGGACGGGUGAGUAACACGUGGAUAACCUACCUAUAAGACUGGGAUAACUUCGGGAAACCGGAGCUAAUACCGGAUAAGAUGUUGAACCGCAUGGUUCAACAGUGAAAGACGGUCUUGCUGUCACUUAUCGAUGGAUCCGGGUGGCAUUAGCUAGUUGGUAAGGUAAAGGCUUACCAAGGCAACGAUGCGUAGCCGAACUGAGGGGGUGAUCGGCCACACGGGAACUGAGACACGGUCCAGACUCCUAAGGGAGGCAGCAGUAGGGAACCUUCCGCAAUGGGCGGAAGCCUGACGGAGCAACGCCGCGUGAGUGAAGAAGGUCUUCGGAUCGUAAAACUCUGUUAUUAGGGAAGAACAAAUGUGUAAGUAACUGUGCACGUCUUGACGGUACCUAAUCAGAAAGCCACGGCUAACUACGUG
rnacentral:rRNA from 1 species